UAGACUCCUACGGGAGGCAGCAGUGGGAAUAUUGCACAAUGGGCGCAAGCCUGAUGCAGCCAUGCCGCGUGUGUGAAGAAGGCCCUAGGGUUGUAAAGCUCUUUCACCGGUGAAGAUAAUGACGGUAACCGGAGAAGAAGCCCCGGCUAACUCCGUGCCAGCAGCCGCGGUAAUACGGAGGGUGCGAGCGUUAAUCGGAAUUACUGGGCGUAAAGCGCAUGCAGGUGGUUUGUUAAGUCAGAUGUGAAAGCCCGGGGCUCAACCUCGGAACUGCAUUUGAAACUGGCAGACUAGAGUACUGUAGAGGGGGGUAGAAUUUCAGGUGUAGCGGUGAAAUGCGUAGAGAUCUGAAGGAAUACCGGUGGCGAAGGCGGCCCCCUGGACAGAUACUGACACUCAGAUGCGAAAGCGUGGGGAGCAAACAGGAUUAGAUACCCUGGUAG
rnacentral:rRNA from 1 species